CCUCUCCUGAGGAGCGUGGGAACCCAGCGUGCGGGCUUUAUUGGGGAAAGCGGCGGUUGUUCACGGGGGCACGUUUUCGGAAAGGACAAUGAUUUGUAAAACUCAUAUUCUUUUAUAUGACGGGUACUGCAGCAGUCGCUACUCCUGAAUUAGAUGAAAUUUUUAUGGGACGUAAGGUACCAGAGGAUUUAGAUCAAACCAAAUUUUGAAAACCUAUGAGAACAACAGAAAGGCCAUAUGAAGACACAAGAAGAAGGUACCAUCCCGGAAGCAGAGAGCAAACCCUUAUCAGACACGAAACCUGCUGACUUCUUGAUGUACAGCCUC